rnacentral:tRNA from 1 species
AGUUAUUUAGCUUAUUUUAAAGCAAAUGUUUUGAAAGCAUUAGAAAGAGAAAUUUAAUAACUU